rnacentral:rRNA from 1 species
GGUGAACGCUGACAGAAUGCUUAACACAUGCAAGUCCACUUGAACUUCGGUUUGGGUGGCGGACGGGUGAGUAACGCGUAAAGAACUUGCCUCACAGAUAGGGACAACAUUUGGAAACGAAUGCUAAUACCUGAUAUUAUGAUUAUAUGGCAUCGUAUAAUUAUGAAAGCUAUAUGCGCUGUGAGAGAGCUUUGCGUCCCAUUAGCUAGUUGGAGAGGUAACGGCUCACCAAGGCGAUGAUGGGUAGCCGGCCUGAGAGGGUGAUCGGCCACAAGGGGACUGAGACACGGCCCUUACUCCUACGGGAGGCAGCAGUGGGGAAUAUUGGACAAUGGACCAAGAGUCUGAUCCAGCAAUUCUGUGUGCACGAUGAAGUUUUUCGGAAUGUAAAGUGCUUUCAGUUGGGAAGAAAAAAAUGACGGUACCAACAGAAGAAGUGACGGCUAAAUACGUG